UACGAGGGGGGCGAGCGUUGUUCGGAAUUAUUGGGCGUAAAGGGCGCGUAGGCGGCCUGGCAAGUGGAAGGUGAAAUCCCUCGGCUUAACCGAGGAACUGCCCUCCAAACUGCUUGGCUUGAGUCCGGGAGAGGUGAGUGGAAUUCCCAGUGUAGCGGUGAAAUGCGUAGAUAUUGGGAGGAACACCAGUGGCGAAGGCGGCUCACUGGACCGGAACUGACGCUGAGGCGCGAAAGCGUGGGGAGCGAACAGG
rnacentral:rRNA from 1 species